UGGCGACCUAUGCUGACUUUGAUAUCAGACCAUAUGCCCAUAGUCAUCUCGAUCGAUGAACCAACUGUGGCCGCAGUCUGUGGCGCAUGCAACAAUCGCCUUAGCAAGAUCCAUGAAAUCACCAAACCAUUAGCAACACCAUAAUAUACUUUAUGGUUCGAUAAGCAAAGUUACCGGAAAACCGUAGGUUCGAUCGAACGUCUAGUGGACAUCACAGUUUUUGCCCCAAACGCCAAUUCUCUAUUUAAGCCGGAGUAAGCCCAGAAACAGGAUCAAAUAAUAAAAGUUGCGAUCUUGUGUGGUUUACGCAUGUGCAGUGAGAAAGUUACCAAAAAGAAAGGUGAAAAUAUAAAGUUAUAUUUGUGAAAUCAAGUUCGUAAGAGGCGGAUUUGUAAAGAUUGAGUCACGAAAGUAUAUUAUCAGAAAAGAGCCCGUUGGAAGUUGAGGACAACCGCGGGUUUUAGCCCAGGGAGCCGCAACUACGGACUGAAAUACGGAAGACCGAUAAACGACCAGAAACUUACCUGCAACAAUCCACCUGUUUGAAGUAGAUAUUCCCAAUAAACAAGGGCGCAACACCACCAGCGAUCUGGAAACAAAUCCAGCAGAGGACGGCAGCAAGCCAGAAACACAGCUGCGGUAUUAACAUAGGUGCCACUGUUAACUACGUGUAGGCACCCACGCAUUGUACACAACGUUAACACCACACCGCAGAAUUGUGAGCGCGAGGACUGGGAAUAGCACGCACAAAGAGAGCAAGACAGGGUGCACUCUUUGAGCAAAUUACGCCCCGACAGAGCCACAUAAGCCCAAAAAUUAUUUUUUUAUUAAUUUUAAUAUUUUGGAAGUUUUACACCACUUUUUGAAUUCUUUAAUUUUGCUUCUGUAAUGUUACCGGGCAAUCGGCCCAUGAAUAUAUUUUCUACACUUGUUGAUCACGCACCUUAGUCUCAAUUGCUAAGGCCAGAACACUCGCGAAGUGCCACGUGCCAAGUAAGCGGAGUUUUCUUUUUCAACAAUU